CCUACGGGGGGCAGCAGUGGGGGAUAUUGCACAAUGGGGGAAACCCUGAUGCAGCGACGCCGCGUGGGUGAAGAAGCGCCUCGGCGCGUAAAGCCCUGUCAGCAGGGAAGAAAAUGACGGUACCUGAAGAAGAAGCCCCGGCUAACCACGUGCCAGCAGCCGCGGUAAUACGUAGGGGGCAAGCGUUAUCCGGAUUUACUGGGUGUAAAGGGGGCGCAGACGGCGAUGCAAGCCAGGAGUGAAAGCCCGGUGCCCAACCCCGGGACUGCUCUUGGAACUGCGUGGCUAGAGUGCAGGAAGGGCAG
rnacentral:rRNA from 1 species